rnacentral:rRNA from 1 species
UGACGUUGGGAAAGCGAGCGGCGGAUGGGUGAGUAACACGUGGGGAACCUGCCCCUAAGUCUGGGAUACCAUUUGGAAACAGGUGCUAAUACCGGAUAAUAAAGCAGAUCGCAUGAUCAGCUUUUGAAAGGCGGCGUAAGCUGUCGCUAAGGGAUGGCCCCGCGGUGCAUUAGCUAGUUGGUAAGGUAACGGCUUACCAAGGCGACGAUGCAUAGCCGAGUUGAGAGACUGAUCGGCCACAUUGGGACUGAGACACGGCCCAAACUCCUACGGGAGGCAGCAGUAGGGAAUCUUCCACAAUGGACGCAAGUCUGAUGGAGCAACGCCGCGUGAGUGAAGAAGGUUUUCGGAUCGUAAAGCUCUGUUGUUGGUGAAGAAGGAUAGAGGUAGUAACUGGCCUUUAUUUGACGGUAAUCAACCAGAAAGUCACGGCUAACUACGUGCCAGCAGCCGCGGUAAUACGUAGGUGGCAAGCGUUGUCCGGAUUUAUUGGGCGUAAAGCGAGCGCAGGCGGAAAAAUAAGUCUAAUGUGAAAGCCCUCGGCUUAACCGAGGAACUGCAUCGGAAACUGUUUUUCUUGAGUGCAGAAGAGGAGAGUGGAACUCCAUGUGUAGCGGUGGAAUGCGUAGAUAUAUGGAAGAACACCAGUGGCGAAGGCGGCUCUCUGGUCUGCAACUGACGCUGAGGCUCGAAAGCAUGGGUAGCGAACAGGAUUAGAUACCCUGGUAGUCCAUGCCGUAAACGAUGAGUGCUAAGUGUUGGGAGGUUUCCGCCUCUCAGUGCUGCAGCUAACGCAUUAAGCACUCCCCCCUGGGGAGUACGACCGCAAGGUUGAAACUCAAAGGAAUUGACGGGGGCCCCGCACAAGCGGUGGAGCAUGUG